UAGCCAGACUCCUACGGGAGGCAGCAGUGAGGAAUAUUGGUCAAUGGGCGCGAGCCUGAACCAGCCAAGUCGCGUGAGGGAUGACGGCCCUACGGGUUGUAAACCUCUUUUGUCGGGGAGCAAAUUCCGUUACGUGUAACGGAGUCGAGAGUACCCGAAGAAAAAGCAUCGGCUAACUCCGUGCCAGCAGCCGCGGUAAUACGGAGGAUGCGAGCGUUAUCCGGAUUUAUUGGGUUUAAAGGGUGCGUAGGCGGACUGUCAAGUCAGCGGUAAAAUCGAGGGGCUCAACCCCUUUAAGCCGUUGAAACUGGUGAUCUUGAGUGGGCGAGAAGUAUGCGGAAUGCGUGGUGUAGCGGUGAAAUGCAUAGAUAUCGCGCAGAACUCCGAUUGCGAAGGCAGCAUGCCGGCUCCACACUGACGCUGAGGCACGAAAGCGUGGGUAUCGAACAGGAUUAGAUACCCUCGUAC
rnacentral:rRNA from 1 species